GAAAAUUGCUAGGGGUGCCUUUUGGCUGAGAGAUAGCUUGCUAUUAACCCUUGUACCUGAUCUGGAUAAUACCAGCGGAGGAAAGCAUCGUAAUGUAUUU
rfam:Clostridium disporicum strain 2789STDY5834856 genome assembly, contig: SCcontig000006